GGAAGGGCAACCCGAUUGGCGACGGGACCCGGUUGGAAGCCGGUUGGCAAUGAGCCUUGCGGGUUCGACUCCCGCCCCUUCCG
rnacentral:tRNA from 1 species